rnacentral:rRNA from 1 species
UACAGAGGUGGCAAGCGUUGUUCGGAAUUACUGGGCGUAAAGGGCGCGUAGGCGGCCUUCUAAGUCAGACGUGAAAUCCCCCGGCUUAACCUGGGAACUGCGUCUGAUACUGGAGGGCUUGAGUGCGGGAGAGGGAUGUGGAAUUCCAGGUGUAGCGGUGAAAUGCGUAGAUAUCUGGAGGAACACCGGUGGCGAAGGCGCAGCCAUCUGGGACCGGACACUGACGCUGAGAGCGAAAGCGUGGGGAG